rnacentral:rRNA from 1 species
GGCUUGGAAGCAGCCAUUCAUUUAAAGAGUGCGUAACAGCUCACUAGUCGAGCGGUCAGGCGUGGAUAAUAAUCGGGCAUAAGUAUACUACCGAAGCAAUGGACAUGAAAAUGUGGUAGGGGAGCAUUCUAGUUGCGCCGAAGGUGAAAUGUAAGUUUUGCUGGAGCGGCUAGAAAAGAAAAUGUAGGAAUGAGUAACGAUAAUGCGGGUGAGAAACCCGCACGCCGAAAAUCUAAGGUUUCCUCAGCUAUGCUAAUCAGCUGAGGGUUAGUCGCGACCUAAGGCGAACCCGAACGGGGUAGUCGAUGGACAACAGGUUAAUAUUCCUGUACUGGUUUAUACUGCGAUGGGGUGACGAUGUACUGAAAGCACCGCGGACUGACGGAAUAGUCCGUUGAAAACUGUAUCUAUAGGACCUGUAGGCAAAUCCGCAGGACCUGGAGAAGGUUGAUAGUACCAAGAGUCUUCGGACAAUUGGAUAGUGUGCCUAAAAACAUCCAAGAAAAACCUCUAAGCUUCAGGUAUAAACAACGCGUACCGUAAACCGACACAGGUAGAUGGGAUGAGAAUUCUAAGGCGCUCGAGUGAUUCAUGGCUAAGGAACUAGGCAAAAUCGUCUUGUAACUUCGGGAGAAAAGACGCCUGCUUCGGCAGGCCGCAGUGAAAAGGCCCAGGCGACUGUUUAUCAAAAACACAGGACUCUGCUAAAUCGAAAGAUGAUGUAUAGGGUCUGACACCUGCCCGGUGCUGGAAGGUUAAGAGGAGAUGUUAGCUUCGGCGAAGCAUUGAAUUGAAGCCCCAGUAAACGGCGGCCGUAACUAUAACGGUCCUAAGGUAGCGAAAUUCCUUGUCGGGUAAGUUCCGACCUGCACGAAUGGUGUAACGAUCUGGGCACUGUCUCAGCCAUGAGCUCGGUGAAAUUGUAGUAUCGGUGAAGAUGCCGAUUACCCGCAGCGGGACGAAAAGACCCCGUGAACCUUCACUACAACUUUGUAUUGACAUUGGACAAGAGAUGUGUAGGAUAGGUGGGAGACUAUGAAGCGUUGUCGCUAGGCAGCGUGGAGUCAACCUUGAAAUACCACCCUUCGCUUGUUUGAUGCCUAACCCCGCAAGGGGGACAGUGCAUGGUGGGUAGUUUGACUGGGGUGGUCGCCUCCAAAAGAGUAACGGAGGCUUUCAAAGGUAUCCUCAGUACGCUUGGUAACCGUACGUAGAGUGCAAUGGCAUAAGGAUGCUUGACUGUGAGACUAACAAGUCGAGCAGGUACGAAAGUAGGACAUAGUGAUCCGGUGGUUCCGCAUGGAAGGGCCAUCGCUCAAAGGAUAAAAGGUA